GCAAGUCCGCGUACACAUCGGGGAGGGGGCCGCGGUUCCAACCGCGGCCCCCUCCCCGAUGUGUACGCGGACUUGC
rnacentral:pre_miRNA from 1 species